ACUUUUUGCCUUAAUAAAGCAUAAGUCACAAUUCUUCUUGAAGCGUAAUAGCUUUAAUCAAGUGUAGUAUCUGUUCUAGAACGUUUAAAAUCGUUCUUGCUUUCUAAGUGAAAGCAUUCGAAUUUAAAAUAAUUUUUUAUUCGAGGUUUAGAUGUUAUGAUAUCGGCAUGCCUUUAUUACAUCUAAAAUAGCAUUCGCUCUGUAUUGCACAAUUUCAGAGUUUAUAAAAAGAGUGCUACCUCUC
rnacentral:snRNA from 1 species